rnacentral:rRNA from 1 species
UUUAUGGAGAGUUUGAUCCUGGCUCAGGACGAACGCUGGCGGCGUGCCUAAUACAUGCAAGUCGAGCGGACUGACUAAGAGCUUGCUCUUAUGACGUUAGCGGCGGACGGGUGAGUAACACGUGGGCAACCUGCCUUGUAGAUCGGGAUAACACCGAGAAAUCGGUGCUAAUACCGGGUAACAUCUGAGAUCACAUGAUCUUAGGUUAAAAGAUGGCUCCGGCUAUCACUACAGGAUGGGCCCGCGGCGCAUUAGCUAGUUGG